AAGUCGUAAUAAGGUUUCCGAAACUCAAGUUCGGGGCUGCUACCUAGUAGUAGAUCCUUCCACAUCACUUGCUGAAGCCUUAGCAGCCUGAAAGGGUACGAUCCCCACGACUAUAAAAUCGAGGAUUGCUUAAAUGCUAGUCCACCUUAGCGUGGGCAACACUAUCAAAUUGCGGGGACACCCUAAAGACCUCAACACCAAGCGUCCACCGGAAACGGGGGGCGUGGCCCGAGCUAAUAGCCCCUGGGGUAUGGUAACAGCUUUGAGGUAUGAAGCCCUUCGGGGUGGAAAUGGGCAAUCCGCAGCCAAGUCCUAACGCACCAUGGUGCUACGGAUGCCGUUCACAGGCCAAAUGGUAGUGGGUGGCUGCGUUAGCAGCUGCUUAAGAUAUGGUCGGGCCUUUGCAGAGAUGCGAAGGAGAAAACCGUUCCGUAGGUGAACCUGCGGAAGGAUCAUUAAGGAGUACUAAUCGGAUGCCUUCGGGCUCUGACUCCCCACCCUUUGCUUACCAUCCCCCCAAUACUUCGGCGGGCGACGGCGAGUCCACAAGGCUCUCCGUCCCCGUCGGCAUUACAAAACCUCAAGCUUUAACAGUGUCGUCUGAGCAUUUGCAAGCAAAAUAAUAAAA
rnacentral:misc_RNA from 1 species